UUGUGUAUUUUAGGAAGGCCUGCUUGGACUUUUAUCGCCUCAUUUUGCACUUGCCAUUUUAAUUUAUAAUAUGCACGUAUAUUUGAGUUAUUGUAGCAAUUGUUGCUUUGCCGGCACGACACUGCAAAUUAACAGAUGGCUGGGUUAAGCCCGUUGUCUGGUUCCAGGAAAACCUCAGCGGAAUCUGGUUUGUACGACAGAAACUUUAGAUCCAUCCCAACUUGAUGGCAACUGGAGGACUAUGUUUAUGAGCGAAUCUACGAAAUACCUGCCUAAUGAUAAUGUGACGACCAUCAAGGUGUUACAACAAUUGGAUAAGCUAGCCCGUAUGUCAGCAUGAUUAAAUGUUUCCCGGUCGAACGGCUAUAAUUCACCCUUGAAAAAGUGUACAAUAACUUUGAUGGCCCUGUCCGGUAUGCAACUGCUGGUAUUGCUGCGGUGGCAGCACAACAUGGGUCAGUGUUCCAUUCUCAUUUACAUA